GUCUCUGUGACUCAGUCGGUAGAGUCCGCGACUUUGAGUCGUCAGGUCGCGGGUUUGAGCCCCGUCACGGUCU